rnacentral:lncRNA from 1 species
UCCUCCUUCUUAUUUUGCAAUUUUGUGUACCUGGGUAUUUUUUCCUGUGUGUACAUCUUUGUACCAUGUGUGUGCAGUGUCCAUGGGAACUAGGAAAGGAAGUCAGGUGCCUUGGAACUGGAGUUGCCAAUGCUUGUGAGCCACCACUCUGGUGCUGGGAAUUGAACCUGGGUCAUCUGCAAGAACAGCCAGAGCUUUUAACUGCUGAGCCACCUCUCCAGUCCCGAGGUGGGCUUUCUUAUUAAGAUUUGGUUCAAGGAUAUUGAAACAAUAGCAGCAACAGCAAAACCCUUUUACACACACAACCCCAAAGGAGUAUCUUUCUUGCUGUGUUGUGGGACAGAUGUAGCUUUAUACUAACAUGUAACUUGUUUCAAUGUAAGAAUAUGGUCACAUUUUCCUGACUUAGUCCUUUUGACGAGCGAUUUAAAAACCUGCUUGAUGACUUUGUUAGCUACAGUUUAAGGUUUACUAAGACCUUCUUUGGCUGUUGUUGAUGCUUUAAUUCUUAUUUUUUUGGUAAUAAUUCCUUUGGUGUGUGCUUUAGGCACAGAAAGUCUUUGUGUGAACUCCAGCAGUUCAAGCAAGGCGAAAGAUCUCAUCUCCCAGAUGACCAGGUCAAGUUAAACUCCACAGAGGUACCCUUUUGUUUGUCCAUUGAAAGCAUCACCCAGGAUGUCCUAGUUUGUGCCGAGCCAAAAGACGACCUAUUUUUGUCCUGGUACUUUGAAUAGGCCUUCUCUCUGACAGGGGCUGCCCUGUAAGCUGACCUCCCUGGCUUUCUUCCCUGUUGUAAGGGAAAUGUUCUUCCUGUCCUUAUCAGUGCUGGAUUCCAAUUUUGUGAGGCCUGAGUAGUCCACCCAGACUUAGGCAGUAUCCUAAGAGGAUGGAGAGGCUGCCAUUGAUAGGAACUGAAGAGCCUGUCUGCAAGAUGAGGAAGAUGUCCUUCUAGUCUGUCUCUUCUUCCUGCUUCUUUUCUGGGGGUGGUGUCUUCCCCCUCUUCCCCAAGUCUUGUUUUCCUGUGGCUAUGAACUAACAUUUGAAUGUCACGGGAAGACGGAGAGCAGCAUCUUCAGAAGAUGCGGCCUCUCCUCCCGAGUCAGCACCGGAGUUUGCUUCUUAUCAUCCAACUGCUAUUAUGAUUUGGGCUGGGACAAAAAUACAUCAGAGGCAGUCAGCUCCGUGUACGUGCAUUGAGAGAAGGGAAGAGAGAGAGGUGGGUAGGAAUGAUUUUAAAUAGACCUCAUUUGCACAGCAGAAAGAUGAGCCCAGCUGUGUGCUGUUGCUGGGCUUUCCAUGAUGACAAGCUAGCCCUGCUGUGGGGAAGGUGGCUCAGUCAGGAAAGGACCUGCCACACAAGCCAGGGGACCUGCAUGCCAGUCCCAGCCACUGCAUAGGAAGCCACAUGUGGUGAACACUUGCAGUCCCAUCUUAGAGGAGGCGGGACCUGAAGAUUCCUGGUGCUCAUUGGCUAGCUAGGAAAAUAGGCAAGAAUCAGUACCCAUCGAGAGACAUUAUCUCAAAAACGAAUGGCAUCUAAGGAGGAAUAGCUCCGGAGGUAGUUCCCAGACCUCUGUGUAGAUGUACAAACCCCACAAAGAUGGGGGAAAAAAACAUCAAGGAGUCAUCUUCAUCCUGAAUGUAUUUCUGGUUUUUUUGUGUGUUCAUUUUUCUUCUGCACUGUCUUGUUACCAGUGUUCAGGUUUAGAGAAACCGUCCUGGUGAGGCUAUCCAGCAUUGUUGGGAAUGUUUGGGUAACAAAAACAAACAAACAAACAAACAAACAAACAAAAGGAUGAAUAGUGACAUCACAAUACUCCAGAAGCAAUCCCAGUCAGAGAUUCCAUUGCUGUUGAACGGUCCUUUCUUUUGUUGUCUAUUGAGUCGGUCUGUUGUCUGGAGAGGGUCCCUUUUCAGUGAGAGUCUGAGAGG